ACAGGUUCUGCCUUCUUCUGUCCAGACACAGCGAUUGUCGCAAAGUACUGGAUGACACGUUUGGUGUUGACGGUCUUUCCUGCGCCGGAUUCUCCGCUGUAGUGGGAAAACGAAAAUCUCUCUCUCUUUUGGAUGUCUAUGGUGUCAGAUUCUUAAUCGGUCACAUAGUUUCCUGAUGAUAAAAUCUUGAAUGCGGAUCUUCCAGGAAAUGUUCUGAGACGUUUCAACAAUAUAUCACUCAACAGAUGUUACUUUACCCAAAUGCAUAGACGUGCAGCUGUGACAGAGAUCUCCAGUGUCACUUAAGCAUCUUUCACACAUGCCAAAAAUGGAAAGGCGUGUUUUUUAUGAACUUUGAUCUUUCUACAUGAAGCCCAAAUCCACAAAUAGAAGCUUUAAACUUGAUUGGAUGAAGAACAUUUCCUUAUUAAUGCGUUUUAUUUCUUUGCCCUUGAUGUCAAUUUCUAAAUAUGUUUAUCAGUAACGUGGCGUACGCUUUCGCGUUAACUUGUAAUUGAAUAUAUUCAU